rnacentral:rRNA from 1 species
GACGAACGCUGGCGGCGUGCUUAACACAUGCAAGUCGAGCGGCUCGGAGAACGGGUGAGUAACGCGUGAGUAACUGCCCCCCUCUCUGGGAUAACAGUUGGAAACGGCUGCUAAUACCGGAUAGUGGGGGAUGACUCGCGUCCUAUCAGAUUGUUGGUGGAGUAGUGGCCUACCAAGGCUACGACGGGUAGCCGGCCUGAGAGGGCGACCGGCCACAUUGGGCUGAGAUACGGCCCAAACGCCUACGGGAGGCAGCAGUCGGGAAUAGUGCACAUUGGUGCAAAGCAUGAUGCAGAAACGCCGCGGGCGGGAUGACGGCCUGCGGGUUGGAAACCGCUUGCAGCCAUGACGCGGUAGUGGCAGAAGAAGCACCGGCUAACUACGUGCCAGCAGCAGCGGUAAUAC